rnacentral:rRNA from 1 species
AGAAUGAACGUUGGCGGCGUGGAUUAGGCAUGCAAGUCGCACGGGCCGCAAGGCCAGUGGCGCAAGGGUGAGUAAGGCGACGGUAACCAACCCCAGGAUUGGGCAUAGCCGCGGGAAACCGCGGGUAAUUCCCAGCGACGUCCGGGAGGGGCAUCCCCCCCGGACCAAAGUCCUGGCGUCCUGGGACGGGCCGUCGUGGUAUUAGGUUGUUGGCGGGGUAACGGCCCACCAAGCCGGCGAUGCCUACCGGGCGUGCGAGCGUGGCCCGGCACACUGAGACUGAGACACUGCCCAGACUCCUACGGGAGGCUGCAGUCGAGAAUCUUCGGCAAUGGGCGCAAGCCUGACCGAGCGACGCCGCGUGGAGGACGAAGGCCUUCGGGUUGUAAACUCCUGUCGAGGGGGAAGAAGGCCGCAAGGCCUUGACUGAUCCCUGGAGGAAGCACGGGCUAAGUUCGUGCCAGCAGCCGC